rnacentral:rRNA from 1 species
GACGUAGGGCGCGAGCGUUGUCCGGAUUUAUUGGGCGUAAAGAGCUCGUAGGCGGCUUGUCGCGUCGAAUGUGAAAACUCGGGGCUCAACUCCGAGCUUGCAUUCGAUACGGGCAGGCUAGAGUUCGGGUAGGGGAGACUGGAAUUCCUGGUGUAGCGGUGAAAUGCGCAGAUAUCAGGAGGAACACCAAUGGCGAAGGCAGCUCGCUGGGACGGUACUGACGCUGAGACGCGAAAGCGUGGGGAGCAAACAGG